rnacentral:rRNA from 1 species
CGGUCCAGACUCCUACGGGAGGCAGCAGUGAGGAAUAUUGGUCAAUGGGCGUGAGCCUGAACCAGCCAAGUAGCGUGCAGGAAGACGGCCCUCCGGGUUGUAAACUGCUUUUGAAGGGGAAUAAAGUGAGCCACGCGUGGCUCAUUGCAUGUACCUUUCGAAUAAGGAUCGGCUAACUCCGUGCCAGCAGCCGCGGUAA